GGGUCAAUGAUAAGAACUCAUAUUGUCUUUAAGAGGAAUGAUGACCUAUAAAUCAUGUACAAGACCAUCAUACUAAGGGUC